ensembl:lncRNA
CAGGGACCUAAUAUCCAGCCAGGAAAAGGGCCCCAGACCGAAACAGGGAGUCCAAGAAGUCGUAUCCUGUCGUUUCCAGUAUAGUGGGUUCUUAGACUUAGCCGUUGUUGAUCAGAGAAGUCGUCUGAAAGAUUCUUCUCCCAUAUAGGCCACCUACGGAGUAUGGAGUAUGGAGUAGAGUUCCUUGUGCUAUAUAACUCUUCUAGGGCUGGAAUGACACCCGAGGGCAGCCUCGUCCAACCCUACUUGGACCAGAAAGCUGGCUGGCCUCUCAGCGUGCUCGAAUCAGCUCUCCUCCAACAGGUGAACACCGCCCAGAAACUCCCUGACUUUGAGCUCCACGCUGGACAGGUGCCUCCUCAGGUUGCUGCGGCAGUUGUCAUGCAGGGU